UAUUUUUGUGUGAUUCCCAUCGUGAAAUUACUCUUAAUCUUUCUUCGAAAGUAGUUGGAUUGAUCCACAACUGUGUAAGCAAGCUGUGCAUCACCUCUUGCCACCUGUGUUGCUGCAGCUUUUCAGCCAAGCUUGUUACACAAGUUCUGGAAUCUUAAGAGGUGUAGAGUGUUUCAUUGCGUUUGUGCAAAUUAAUCUGCGUUUUGUCAGCGAAACAGAAGAGG